rnacentral:rRNA from 1 species
ACGGUAGCACAGAGGAGCUUGCUCCUUGGGUGACGAGUGGCGGACGGGUGAGUAAUGUCUGGGAAACUGCCCGAUGGAGGGGGAUAACUACUGGAAACGGUAGCUAAUACCGCAUAACGUCGCAAGACCAAAGAGGGGGACCUUCGGGCCUCUUGCCAUCGGAUGUGCCCAGAUGGGAUUAGCUAGUAGGUGGGGUAACGGCUCACCUAGGCGACGAUCCCUAGCUGGUCUGAGAGGAUGACCAGCCACACUGGAACUGAGACACGGUCCAGACUCCUACGGGAGGCAGCAGUGGGGAAUAUUGCAUCAUGGGGCGCAGCCCGAUGCAGCCAUGCCGCGUGUAUGAAGAAGGCCUUCGGGUUGUAAAGCNUUUUCAGCGGGGGAGGAGGGGAGUAAAGUUAAUACCUUUGCUCAUUGACGUUACCCGCAGAAGAAGCACCGGCUAACUCCGUGCCAGCAGCCGCGGUAAUACGGAGGGCGCAAGCGUUAAUCGGAAUUACUGGGCGUAAAGCGCACGCAGGCGGUUUGUUAAGUCAGAUGUGAAAUCCCCGGGCUCAACCUGGGAACUGCAUCUGAUACUGGCAAGCUUGAGUCUCGUAGAGGGGGGUAGAAUUCCAGGUGUAGCGGUGAAAUGCGUAGAGAUCUGGAGGAAUACCGGUGGCGAAGGCGGCCCCCUGGACAAGACUGACGCUCUGCACGAAGCGUGGGAGCAACAGGAU